GCUCGUAGGAGCUCUCCCGGUGCGCCAGUAUUCUGAUGGCCUACCCUGUGGCCUUGCAGCUGAUUUUGAGUAAGGCUGAGUAGCCAGAGAUCCCCGUGGCGUCCUACCUGCCAGUCGAUUCUGGACGCAGUCCUUGUCGGUGUUGUGGCAGAGACACCUCAGAGGAUCAUCGAGGGUCUUAUGGUGACGUUCGGUGGGCAGUAGCCUACUAGCUCACCGCUGUUUUGCCCUGUUAGUUUUGCCUUUCUGUUUAUUUGUUUGUUUUGUGUCUUUGUCCAGCCGCUAUUCAGUUAAGUGUGUUGUUAUUUUCCGGGGUCGGUAGGCUAUACACUGAGCUCGUGUAGCCUAGGCUAUGUCUAACUUUGGGCUACAGUCAGUGGGCAGGUUCUGAUGGGCUUUAGUAACUUUGACUUCAAACGUGCUUACUCACGUGUGUGUGUGUGUGUGUAGUGGAUAAUCACCCUGACUUGAAUCACUUCAUAGUGUAGUGUGCCUAUGAGCGUGUGAUUGUGUGAUUUACCAUAGGCCCUUGAUUUUGGUGCACGCGUGGUGAAUAGUCUAGCCUCAUCCGACCUGCCCUGUUGGUCUAGCCUCAUUAGGAUCUGUGUCAACUGACCCUGACUGCUCUGUAUUUUAUUUGCGGUGAGAUAUUUUACUUAUUGUCCUGAUUAAAUAAAGAAGAUAUUGUUAUUUUUUUAAGGUACGUCUCUUGUCCAUUCUAUCCGAACCUGUUGUGCCUUGUCUUUGUAAAAUCAAAAUAUAUUCUGGGGUGGAAGCCCCCCA